UCGUAUAACAGAGGCGCCAUGUGGCUGUCGCUGACCCCCUUUAAAAAAGGGGUCGUGCACGCCUCGAGCGUUCUCAACAAACCAAUACACCCCCCUUGUGCAUCGCCGCGUGGACCCCCUUUCUCCCAAAAGGGGGGUCACGUUUUUUUCACACAAACGAUUAGUAGUUGUAGAAUGUCUUUCUGUUUUGUGACUAGUUCGCAAUCAAAUAAUAAA
rnacentral:misc_RNA from 1 species